rnacentral:misc_RNA from 1 species
GAUGAAGAACGCAGCGAAAUGCGAUACGUAAUGUGAAUCGCAGAACUCAGUGAACCAUCGAAUCUUUGAACGCACAUUGCGCCCCUUGGUAUUCCAUGGGGCAUGCCUGUUCGAGCGUCAUUUGUACCUUCAAGCUCUGCUUGGUGUUGGGUGUUUGUCUCGCCUCUGCGUGUAGACUCGCCUCAAAAUAAUUGGCAGCCGGCGUAUUGAUUUCGGAGCGCAGUACAUCUCGCGCUUUGCACUCAUAACGACGACGUCCAAAAGUACAUUUUUACACUCUUGACCUCGGAUCAGGUAGGGAUACCCGCUGAACUUAAGCAUAUCAAUAAGCGGAGGA